CACGUAAGGAGCGAGCGUUGUUCGGAAUUACUGGGCGUAAAGCGUACGUAGGCUGAUUAUUAAGUCAGAGGUGAAAUCCCGGAGCUCAACUCCGGAACUGCCUUUGAUACUGGUAGUCUAGAGAUUGUGAGAGGUGAGUGGAAUUCCAAGUGUAGAGGUGAAAUUCGUAGAUAUUUGGAGGAACACCAGUGGCGAAGGCGGCUCACUGGCACAAUACUGACGCUGAGGUGCGAAAGCGUGGGGAGCAAACAGG
rnacentral:rRNA from 1 species